ensembl:lncRNA
UCUUUCAUUUGAGGUCCCGAGAUAUUCCUAUGAAAGGCUCUAUGCAAAGGUCAAGGGAGGGGUGUUAUUCUAGUUAUUUCAUAUUUCAGUCUUGCUUAAACAAAAUGUAUACUUUUGAAAGUCUUUUUAACCUCUUACCAAGCACCAUCAUGGUGUGGUUUCUACUGAUCCUUGUUCCACUGCGGAUCGGGUAAGAAAGAGACACUUUUCUCUCACGGACACAUUCUCCCCUUGAGGGGGCUUGUGGUUGGAAAAAUAUCAAAGUCUAUGAUUGCUGAUUGCUUCAUGCUCUUCCUGGCCUUGGUGAACUCAUCUAUUCCCCAAAUUGUGCUGAUGACCUCAUCAUUGGCAGCUGUGUUCUCUCCCACCUCAGCUUGAGGGAUCACAUCUGGUGCAGAGCCUUGGUACCUGGGGCUGACACAUCUGGAGGGAACUGUCUUUUCAAGUGGAGUGUUUUGUAACCUGUUUCACUCUUGUCGAUGCAGCCAAGUGGCAGGGAAGUCCUCAGCAAAUUUGUGCCUUGGGAAAUGGCCCUCUGGUCUUCAUAGAGUGAGGAUUUGCAGGGCAGGGCAGGGAGUUCACCUUUAUAUUCAUGAACAAGUGCAGACCUGACCUUAGAAAUGGUAUUGGUCUCUUUCAAUCAAUUCUGCUUGUGUUCAUUCUAGGGUCUAGAAAUACCCUGGUUGACAAGUUUUAUCACAAUGUUAACUCAUAUAGAUAAUGAUCCCAAUCAUAGAAUUUAACUGACUUUAGAAAUAUUCACAGUAGAUAUGACCCCAAAGUAUCUGUAUAUUGGGGAAAACAUGUAAACUUAAGAAUGGGCCCUUUGGGGAGUUCCCAUAGUGGCUCAGUGGAAACGAAUCUGACUAACAUCCAUGAAGAUGCAGGUUUGAUUCCUGGCCUUACUCAUUGGGUUAAGGAUUCAGCGAUGCCCUGAGCUGUAGUGUAGGUCACAGACGUGGCUUGGAUCUGGCGUUGCUGUGGCUGUGGCGUUGGGCAGCGGCUGCAGCUCCAAUUCGACCCCUAGCCUGGGAACUUCCAUGUGCCAUGAGUGUGGCCCUAAAAAAAAAAAAGCAAAAAGCUCUCUCUUCUCUUCUCCGCCAUCCUAUGUGUCGUUGAAUUAAUUCCUUGCCAUGUCUUCUCAUAAGACUUUCAGGAUCAAGCAAUUCCUGGCCAAGAUGCAAAAACAGAAUCGUCCCAUCCUCCAAUGGAUUCGAAUGAAAACUGGUAAUAAAAUCAGAAGACAUCUGUGCACAGAGGGAAGCUUUCAGAAAUAACAUGGCCACAGGAGGAGGGCUUUCGGCCUUUGUGUCCUUGUCCAAUCUCUGCUGGUGAUGAAAUGGGCUCCACAUGGCCUCUGGACCUGGACCAGCAUCUGCUGAUGUUUGAAAAUCCUACCUCGGCCUUUAGCUGCGAUGUCACAUUCAGGGUCUCCUGUUCAUAUAUCAGCCCACUUCAUUCCCUGUAUCCCCUCACUAGGGCAUGUGAGCACUUCCCAGUCUCAUGUGGGCUCUGAUCAAGCUGUAGGGAAUGGGGGGAACUACCUCAGGACUACUGUCCUGAUGACAUUUCACUGCUCUCUACCAGAGCGCAAUCUGUGAGUGAUGGCUUUUUGGGCAAGUGAGAAGUCUUUCCUCACCUACUCAGGAUUUAUAAGGCCCCUCUUUUUCCAGAUGCCCUUAGAUUUGAGCUUCUAAAUUGAAAUGUUAGAAAACCUGGUAGGAGAUGAGGGGAUGGAGGUGGUUAUGACAGUUCUCUUCAUUUAGCUGGAAAGGAACUUUUCAAACUGAAGGAAACUCUCCAAGUGAUACAAAUAUGAUUUUGGACACAAGCCUGUCUAACAUCAAAGGUGGUCUUUCGGGCAUCAUAGUAGUGAGUUACUAGUUCAAUCUGGAGGAUAAUUAAGAAAAUAUGCAUAAAGUACCUGACAUAUAACUGAUCCUCAAUAAAUGGUCAUUAUUCUGAGCAUCCUCCUGGGUAUUUGGAUUGAGAAUACACCUGCUCACUCUCUUGGGUUUCUUUAAGAAACCAUGAAUCUGUCAAUUUGUUCAAGAACCCAACGCUCAACAUAUCUACUAGCAUUUAUAUUACAUAAAAGAGUCCUGGAAGCAUCAGCUGUUUCCCUCCAGUGAGUGAUUUGAUGUUGAUGUCCCCAAGCAUCAGAUGCAGGCCUGGUUGCCAGUACUGAAAAGGUAAAGGCAGGGUCAAUGUCAGACAAGAUGGGAAAGCUCUGCUAAGUUUACCCUCUGGACAUAAGUCUAUUCCUCCUUAUCAGUAGUUUGUCAUGUUAAGUUUCCCAUUUUGCAAAAGACAGCAGCAGAAAGUGAGUUCCUGAGGGGUGAGGUAGGGAAGACGGAGAAAGGAAACCCACGGCUAGCGUUUGUCUCAUUAAAAUCUGUCAAAGUCGUAGGAACAGAAGGCAGCAAAGAGCUAAAAUCAGAUGUCACUAGCUCUCAGAAUAUGUUGACAUGUGGGGGAGCACACUGUAGUGACAAUGCGCACUUCAGCUGCUUGGCUCUCAGCUGGUAAUCAUACAGAACCUCCGCAGGCUGUGCUGGGGAGGCAGACAGCAGUCUCACACCCGGGGACAGUUACAGCUAAUGGGCGACAGGACUCUUGCAACGACUUACUGUCUUUUAAGAAACACUUUGUCUAUGCCAAAAUCAGUUUAGGAAAACCAGUGCAAUUUUGUUUGUGGAUAUGGACUCAUCAUGAACUGUGCAGGCCAGCACGUUUUUACCUGUAAAAGGCUGGAAAUAUUUAGGCUUACAUUAAAGGAAUAAACAGAACAAUCCAAAUUCCUUAAUGCUGGAUGCUAUAAACAGUAGAGUAGCUACUUAGAAUGGAUCAAGUAGAAUAUUAGUUUGCAUAAGGGUAAUGUGAUCUAGAAGGAAAAGCAUAGACUCUGGAGGCAGACAGGUAGGGGUUCGAAGCCUGCCUCUCCUCGAGUGUGUUUCCUUGGGAAAUUUAUGUCAUUCCUUUGGGACUCAGCCUCCUUCAUCGUCAAAAGAAGGGUGCAAAUUUCUUGCUUUCAGUGUUACUGUGAACAUUUAAUGAAGUAAUAUAUGGUACAAGGCAUAUGGCAUAAUAGAGACUCAAUAUGUACUUUUUUUUGGUCUUGCAUAUUAUAUUUGCACACUGGUAUAUGAAAUGAUUGGCCAGUGGAGACCUGCUGUAUAGCACAGGGAAAUCUACCCAAUCUUCUGUGAUGGUCUAUAUGGGAAAAGAAUCUGAAAGAGUGGAUGUGUAUAUACAUAUAACUGAAUUAAUUUGUCAUACAGCAGAGAUUAUCACAACAUUGUAAAUCAACUAUACUUCAAUAAAAUUUUAAAAGUGAAAAAAU